GGGUAGCUUUUCUGGAACAAAGUUGGACAGCAGGAAGGAAGCCAAGCUGCUGAAGUUGAGUCCAGCCAAUGCCACUUGACUCAGUUUUGUCAUCUCUGUUUCUCAUAUCAGUGUUCUUUCCUACUAAAUUACCAGGUCACCCAUAGUGUUGAAUUCUGAAAACUGUUUCCCAUGGAUCCUAAUCCUCCUGCAUAUGGACCCCUCCGCUGCAAAACACAAAGCACUUGCUUCCCUCACACAGACACUGAUCAAACCAUGUUGUUUGGUCUGCAUGUUUGGGAGCAUUCUUUCCCAGUGGGACCACCUGAACCCUUCUCCUGGGGGAGUCUGUGGAUUUUCUUUACAUGCUUAUUAUCCACUAAGUCUGUGAUGAGAAUGUCUAUCAUUCCUUUGUUGCAGUGGUGUUGGCAUGGAUGCUGUGCAAGUGUCUGUCAGUGAUGCUAUGAAGAGGCAGUCUGCCACCAGCUUAUAUGCCAUCGCAAAGACCCGGUCAUCUUGCAUCCGCCCUGAAUUCCAUGGACACACCUGGCCUUGAGAGCAGCAGCCUUCCCCGCACCCUUCCAGUGCCUGUUCUUGGGCUACAGUUGAGCUCCGAGGAGCUGAUAAGAGAGCUCUUCUGGCCUUCGCUCUUCUUUCUCUUUUAAUAAGGCUGUGGCAUGUUUCAAUUUAAUGAUACUUA